AACGCGAAGAACCUUACCAGGUCUUGACAUCCUCUGACAAUCCUAGAGAUAGGACGUUCCCCUUCGGGGGACAGAGUGACAGGUGGUGCAUGGUUGUCGUCAGCUCGUGUCGUGAGAUGUUGGGUUAAGUCCCGCAACGAGCGCAACCCUUGUCCUUAGUUGCCAGCAUUUAGUUGGGCACUCUAAGGAGACUGCCGGUGACAAACCGGAGGAAGGUGGGGAUGACGUCAAAUCAUCAUGCCCCUUAUGACCUGGGCUACACACGUGCUACAAUGGAUGGUACAAAGGGCUGCGAGACCGCGAGGUUUAGCCAAUCCCAUAAAACCAUUCUCAGUUCGGAUUGUAGGCUGCAACUCGCCUACAUGAAGCCGGAAUCGCUAGUAAUCGUGGAUCAGCAUGCCACGGUGAAUACGUUCCCGGGCCUUGUACACACCGGAGUGC
rnacentral:rRNA from 1 species